UCUCGCAAAACUGAAAUAGCAAUACGUAUUUUUUGCAGCAAAUAAAUAAACUUGAUAAUCAGAGUAAAAGAACAUGUAUAUACAGAGGAAAUACAUCCAGGAUGUUCAUGUUAAUUUUGCAUAGAAUCACAUAAUGAGAGCCAAAUGUUGGAAAAAAACUUCAGACUAGAAAUAUGAACAACCCUUAGUAGAGAUGUAUUACGAAAUGGAGAACAGUAACAUUACAUGGAAUGCAGCUUUCAAUCCGUAGGUUGUUCCCCUGGGGAAGAUACCUUUCACAGCCUUAGCUCUUCACAAGUGCUCUCUCAUAUUGUGGUUAAUUGCUCUGGCUUCUUGCAACUGAUCCUCAGAUGAGUCCUUUCUCCGCCAGCUUCUGCUACAUCAACUGAAACCCAAGUCAGUGACUAUGCCAAGACAGAGGUGGCAUUUAUACAAGGAGUACUAACAGACAAAUGUAAUUUACUGGGCACUGAGAUCUGCUGGCAUGGCACGACUGAUGUCUAAACCUCCAAUCUCAACCUUCAAUCCAGAGGGCUGCAUACAAGCUGUGCGUUGGGAAUGUUCCAUGGAGCACACUGACUGGUAAACCAUGCCUAAAUCCAUGGAAACUGAUAGCUUAAAACUGAAUAAAUUUCUUAAUGAUAAUGUGUAGUGCGCUGACCCUGGCCAGAUGCCAGGUACCCACUAAAGCCACUCUCUCCCUCUCCCUCUGCAAAUAGAUAGAGGAGAGGAAA